CCUCCCUCAGCUCGAGGCUCCGCCCGCGCCACCGCCUUCCUCAGCCCGGCGUGCCGGCUCCCGAGCGGACCCGAGCGGCGCGGGGCCCGCGGGGUGGAGGCCGCCAGCCCCGGAGCGCGUCCCGCAGCCUGACGGGCCCGGAAUGCUGAGUCCUCAGGAACUUCUCACUAUACACCAUCCUCUGCUCUGCAGAGCACCUCCAUGCACCGUCUGAAGACAUGGGGAUAAUUUUCCAGAGAGUGCAGAGUCCGCCCAGGAACCUGCCACGGGUGGAGAGGAAGGAACGAGAGACUGCCGAAGCCAAAGCCCUACAGUGCCCAUUCCCUUCUCUGCCCACACCUGUUGUUGAGAGCCAAGGGCUUCUGCGUGUUGGCUGUGCCCAUCUUUGGUUGCAGGAAGAAGCUGGUAGCGAUCCAUACCUGAAGCAUCGUGAGACCCAGGACAGUGGAUAUGGUCCCUCGAGGAAGGGCCAGGGCUGCUUCUGCCUCACCUCUCUCCUCCCUGCCCACACCAGGAGUCUACCGGUGCCCGCGGAAUGUGGGUUGACCGAAUGGAUCACGUGAUGGCACUUACCCCACAGAAUUGUCUACCAGAGAAUUCAAAAUUGCACCUGUGGCUUUCGUUGUGUUUCUGUUUGGCAGCACUGGAGUAGAAUGCGCUACCAGGAACAGGAACACACGCAGAUAUAUUUGACUACAAAAUUCCUGGAAGGAAGCUCAGAAAAUGAAUGCCAAUGUUUAGCUCUGGGGCAAAAAGUUGGGGUCUGAAUAGCAGGAAGACUUAGUUGACACUAAAUAUUUUUUGUAACAUUUUUUUAAAAAGAGCCCAUAUGUAGGUUGGAAUAAUGCUAAGGAAAGUAAAAAUACUGGCACAGUGGUAGUGCUUCCCACUUUUUAGGAUGCUUUCCCAUCCAGUAUUUCCUUUGCCCCACAGUCUUGGAAAGGAGACAGGGCAAGGAUCAUCACUCCUGGGUGACAGGUGUGGGGGCGAGGGGCCAUCCUGGACAGGAAAGAGGCCUCCCCAGCACAGGUGCCCUCUCUUCCCUGUGCCACCUCCACCCACGUCCAUGCAGCCAGCUCUGCACAGUAGUUGUCCCUGGUUGUGGUCAAAUGCCUCAGUGAAAAUCUCCCAGCCACUUACAGCCUAAUGAAGGAGCAGACAUCCCUACGUCAGAUGGGGCAGGGAGAGCAGCAAGUGCCAUCCACCCACUGGGUCCAGGGAGAAGAAAGCAGAGAGAGGGAGCAAGCCAGGGUGGGGAUGGAGAGAUGGGGCCUCUUCGUGCCAGGAGAGUCUUCUCUUGGAUGCCACCUGCAAGAGACCCCACCCUUUGGGCAGCCAGGUGGGGAGCAUGUGAAGGCAGGAUGCUCUGGAGCAGUGGGAAGUGGCCCUGGGCUUCCUGUGAGUGAGUAUGAGUUACAGACUCAGCCAGAAAGACAAAGAGGCAGAGGCAGAGAGACAGAGACAAGGGAGCAGUAGAUACCUAAAAUUCAUCUGCAUCUGCAUGCAAAUGCUGGCUACAGAUUGAAGGCCAUCGCCUCCUCCUGCGCUGCUGUUCUUGAACCUGCUACACCUGGGCCCCUGGACUCAGUGUCCUGUGAGGUCCCCUUAAGCCAGAUUCACCUGCUGGGAGCCCAGUGUGAUUGGUUCUGAAGAGCAGGGCAGGUCUGACAUCCAAUAGAGAUGCCAGAGUGGACAAGAAAUGACAGUCUCUGGGGUCAGAAGACAUGAUUGGCUGCUACUUGCUUGGAUGUGGUUGUCCCUGGAUCUUGCAUACGCUCCUGGUUCCAGUGCAGCCACUGCUGCACUGCUCAGGAAUUCUUAGGAAAGUCUGUCAGAUGCUUUCCUGGCAGAAGACACAAAUGACUCCCAGAGCCCUCUUAUCUGUAACAGGCCAAAAUGUGGAACAGCUGGCUCACACACGUGAAGGAGGCAGGCAAAAUCGUCACCACCCAGACUCCUGAAAUAGAAAAAGUGGUAUGAGAGGCCUCAGAAGAUGAACCAGAAACAGUAUUCUCAAAAUGCAGAAACUGACAUCAGAAAGGUCUGGGCAAAAUACAUUUGACCUCCUUUAACACGUUUCUUGUGUAAAUAAAGUUUUGCUUAUAUUUCUGAUCCAUCUUA